GAAAUGCGAUACUUGGUGUGAAUUGCAGAAUCCCGUGAACCAUCGAGUCUUUGAACGCAAGUUGCGCCUGAAGCCAUUAGGCUGAAGGCACGUCUGCCUGGGCGUCACGCAUUGCGUCACCCACUCACCCCAUGCCUCUGUGGCCAGGUUAAGUGCGUGGGUGGAUAUUGGCCCCCCGUACACAUUCGUGCUCGGUCGGCCUAAAAGAAGGGUCCCCAAUGACGGACAUCACGACAAGUGGUGGUUGUCGAACCGUCGCGUCACGCCGUGCAUGCCAUUCUUUGUUGGGGACUGCCUCCUUGACCCUUAAGUACCAAUAACAACGGUACCUUAACUGCGACCCCAGGUCAGGCGGGAUUACCCGCUGAGUUUAA
rnacentral:rRNA from 1 species